GCCGGGCUAGCUCAAUCGGUAGAGCGUGUGGCUCUUAAAACGGGGACAAUUGACUCCAAUUAAUUGCUACCACAAGGCUGCGAGUUCGAGCCUCGCGUUCGGCU